AACGGCCGUACCAUACUGAAUAUACCGGUUCUCGUUAGAUCACCGAAGUCAAGCAUCGUUGGGCUCGGUCAGUACUUGGGCGGGUGACCACCUGGGAACACCGCGUGCCGUUG
rnacentral:rRNA from 1 species